UGAAAGAUGGAACAUCAAGAGCAAUUGCGAACUAGAUAAUUCUUAAGUUAAAAGAUAACAAUGUAACAUUAGAAUAGCAACAUUUCAUAAUUGCCUUUUGUUUUGGUUUAGAUAGUUGUUUUUUCCUAUUUUGAGAUAUAUAUUAAAGGUUUUUUGUUUAUAUGUUGAGUGGUUGUCACCGUCAGCUCUUCCAGAUUGUGCACCCAUUUGCUUUCAAAUUCUAGACCCCUCUUUAUUUAAUACUAUUUUGCUCUAGUAUAAAUUGAAGAGUUUUCCUAAUCUACGAAUACAUUUAAUUCAGGAUGAUGUUGCUGUGGACAAAGCUGGAGAGGAACCUGAAUGAUUCCUAAUUUUGUUAAAGAGUAAGACUUGCCGUUGGGUGUGGUUUGGGCUUUGUUAACUGUGAGCCACAGUUCCUUAGAUAUCUUUUAACCACUUCUUUUUUAUUCUUUCAGGUUGGUGGGCUAGGAUUCUAGUGUUUUUGAGUUCCCCAGUAGAUUAUAGAAUUC
rnacentral:lncRNA from 1 species